rnacentral:snRNA from 1 species
GGCGUUCGAAUUGUAGUCUGGAG